AGAUGGUUGAAUAGUCUUGUGCCUUCUCUUGAGGCCAGCCAUUUCCCCAAAUGAAGAGAGGAAGGAAAACAAUGAAAGCAGGUAAUGUUUAUGAUGGGAGAUUGGUGUGCUUUGUUUGAGGGAUGGAAGGAUGGUGGAGAUGGAGGGCCUUCGUCAGUCCUGAGGGAGGACGUUCUGCUUAUGGAAGGAGUGCAACAAAGGUUUUCCAGACUGAUUCCUGGGCUGACAAUAUUUUGCCUUUAUCUGAGACCAAAGUCAUGGCUUACAGCACAGCAGUGAUCCCAUGCUCUUACAGAUUUAGCGACUUGGACAACAUCUAGCAGGCACAAAGCAUUUGGUGAUGCACCAACAACUUCACAAGACCCUUCAAAGUCAAAAAAAAGGUUGCCAACAGCAGCCCUCUCUCCCAGGCCAACUUUGUCAACACCGAGGGACAAAUCAUUCAAAACCAGCUCCACUGUGUAGAAUGUGUCACUCGUAUACAGAACACCAAACUCACAAAGCAACUGCUCAACUCUGAACUUAGCUGUGGCAGCAGACACCCAAGGGGACAGUGGAAACACUUUAAAGAUGUCCUCAAAACACUGCUGAAGAAGUUAAAUGUCUCCAUCAGCAAGUGAGAGUCCGUGUCUGGAGACGGACCAAAAUGGAGAAGGUUGAUCCAUAAAGGCACCAAGCACAAGACAUCAAGACUUCAGCAAGAAUGUGCAGGAUAAAAAUUGAGACACAAGAGGGAGCUCAUAAACCUCCAAAUAACCAUCAAUCCAAUAUGCAUGUAAACUGGAGGAGAAACACGUUAUAACAAAAACAAAGU